rnacentral:sRNA from 1 species
UACAUCUUCAACAGGUGCGGUCGCGGCCUCUGGGCAACCAGGUGGUUUCGCGCCGCAUUCCUGCAUCCUUUUUUUACGAGCACCUUUCGUUCUCCUUCGGCGGGGCAACCUGCCGCUGGAACUUAACAAAACCUUUUUUUGCAUCUAGCAUUACCUGUUCUGAUACAAACAAUCGUUACAACUUUCAACAAUGGAUCUCUUGGCUCUGGCAUCGAUGAAGAACGCAGCGAAAUGCGAUAAGUAGUGUGAAUUGCAGAAUUCAGUGAAUCAUCGAAUCUUUGAACGCACAUUGCGCCCCUUGGUGUUCCAUGGGGCAUGCCUGUUCGAGCGUCAUCUACACCCUCAAGCUCUGCUUGGUGUUGGGCGUCUGUCCCGCCUCUGCGCGCGGGCUCGCCCCAAAUUCAUUGGCAGCGGUCCUUGCCUCCUCUCGCGCAGCACAUUGCGUUUCUUGAGGGGCGCGGGUCGCGUCCACGAAGCGACAUUUAGUCUUUGACCUCGGACCAGGUAGGGAUACCCGCUGAACUUAAGCAUAUCAAUAAGCGGAGGA